CCAAAGCCAGAAGGGAUUACUUAUGGUACUGAAUUUAAGAUGCUGUAUUCUUAUACAAGUAUCUUUAGUUUACAGCUGAUGAUUGUUUUCAACGAGUAUUUGAGAUGUGUUCCAUGUAAAGGCAGGUUUUAGUUCAAAACCUCUCGAAAGUUAUAAGCCAGGGGGACAUUGGAUUGGUAUAACUCACAACCUGUUAAUUUUAACACGUUCUAUAAAUAUUUACCAGCAAUGUGCGAGGUAGAUUACAUUGACAUGAAAGGUUGAGGAUUUUCAAAUGAUUUUGGAAAGGUUACGUGCCCAACAACCCUCUAAGAAAGGAACAUUUUCAUUGAUGAACAAACAAUAAUGUCUCGGACUGAUUAUCGAAGCACAUCAUUGUUAGAUGAUGCAAAAGGCCAAGUUCUACUCUGGUUAUGUCAGUUUUAAAAGCACUUCAACAACCUGCUCCAGUGGAUGUUUCAAGUCCAAAGAAAAUUGAGGUAGAUAAGAAGAAAGAAGCAUGUGUUAGUACGACAAAUACACGACGUACUUUAAAAGUUAUUGAACAUGGGAAAACACGUAUGUUGUUUCAUUUUAUGUAAUACACAUGUGUUUGCUUUUAACUUUGUGAGCAAUUAUUAGUUUUUCCAAUUUUUUCGUAAGAGAUAUUUUAAUUUUAACAUGAAUAUAUUUACAUCAUCGAGAUGCGUUAGAAACGCGUUAAAUUUCAUCACCUUGUUAGUUAUUCAGAGAUGAAAUGUAAUGUGGAGUUACGACAGUCAUUACUUACAUCACUUCUUGAACUUUAGCCACUAUGCCAUAUGGAACAUCAAAAUACUGGACGCUGAUUGGCCGAGUGACUUUGGCUGUGUUCUAAUUCUAGAUAUCUGUAGAUAUGACGUCAUUACUACGAAAAUUUUUCUACCAUUAUUGACUGACGCCAUUAAAAGCCGAAU